UUUUUUUAAUUUUUGCGUUUCGGCGUAAAACGUAGCUAAUAAACCAAUGUUCAAAACGCUACCGUUUCGUCAUCGAGGGUCGGAUCAAAAAAGUAAUGCAGCAUUUCUUUUCGUGUAGGUCUGAAGAUGCCGUGUGCAAAGUUUGGUGGCGAUUGGUCAGGAAAUGUGGGAGGAGUAGCGAAAAAACAGUUUUGCGGUUUUCGCGAUUUUGCGAAAAAAAAUUCUAGACGCAAAUGGGCGUGGCCUAUGCC
ensembl:lncRNA